rnacentral:rRNA from 1 species
UACAGAGGGGGCAAGCGUUGUUCGGAAUUACUGGGCGUAAAGGGCGCGUAGGCGGCCAACUAAGUCAGACGUGAAAUCCCCAGGCUCAACCUGGGAACUGCGUCUGAUACUGGAUGGCUCGAGUUCGGGAGAGGGAAGCGGAAUUCCAGGUGUAGCGGUGAAAUGCGUAGAUAUCUGGAGGAACACCGGUGGCGAAGGCGGGUCUCUGGGCCGAUAUCGACGCUGAGGAGCGAAAGCGUGGGGAGCGAACAGG